CAUGAAUCCAGCCAGAGAUAGAGAAGUGGCUGAUAGAGGAAGAAGAGUGGCUGGGAGAGGGAGAGGAGUACGUAUGUGUGUUGGAAGAAGACUGAGAGGAAGAUCAAAAGCUGCUGUCUCAGAUGAGAUUAGGGUUACUAUAAUUGAUCAUGUAAUAAAUCACGGUCUAUCAAUGAGAGAGGCUGGUCUGAGAGUGCAGACAAAUCUGCAACGCUCAACAGUGGCAUCUGUUGUGAGAAAUGUCCGGCAAAACAACUGGACCCAACGGUUACCUCCCACAGGUCGGAGAGGUAGGAUUUUCACUGCUGUGCAGGAAACUGCAAUCAUUGAUAUGGUCAUCAGAAACAAUGGCAUAAAACUCAGAGAUUCGGGAAAGAGUGUUGGCAGACAACAUUACAUUACAAGUCAGGAUGAAGCAGUUGUACACUGUCCCCUUUGAGAGGAACGCUGAACGAGUCAAGCAACUCAGGAACCAAUAUGUCCAGAGAGUCAUGGAGCCAGGCAAACACCCCACAUAUUCAUCUUUGUGGAUGAGGCUGGUUUCAACUUGACCAAAACACGGCUGCGAGGAAGGAAUGUGAUUGGGAAACGAGCCACAGUGGAUGUCCCGGGCCAGAGGGGUGCCAACAUCACAAUGUAUGCAGCAAUAUCCUCUGAUGGUUGGCUGUUACACAAACCGCUAAUUGGGCCAAACAACAUCGAGC
ensembl:lncRNA